rnacentral:rRNA from 1 species
UACGUAGGGUGCAAGCGUUAAUCGGAAUUACUGGGCGUAAAGCGUGCGCAGGCGGUUUUGUAAGUCAGAUGUGAAAUCCCCGGGCUUAACCUGGGAACUGCGUUUGAAACUACAAGGCUAGAGUGUGGCAGAGGAAGGUGGAAUUCCACGUGUAGCGGUGAAAUGCGUAGAGAUGUGGAGGAACACCGAUGGCGAAGGCAGCCUUCUGGGCCAACACUGACGCUCAUGCACGAAAGCGUGGGGAGCAAACAGG